rnacentral:rRNA from 1 species
UACAGAGGGUGCGAGCGUUAAUCGGAAUUACUGGGCGUAAAGCGCGCGUAGGCGGCUUUGCAAGUCGGGUGUGAAAUCCCCAGGCUCAACCUGGGAACUGCAUUCGAGACUGCAUUGCUAGAGUAUGGGAGAGGGAAGUGGAAUUUCCGGUGUAGCGGUGAAAUGCGUAGAUAUCAGGAGGAACACCCGUGGCGAAGGCGGCUUUCUAGGAUAUACCUGACACUGAGAAGCGACAGCUAGGGGAGCAAACAGG